GACGAACGCUGGCGGCGCGCCUAACACAUGCAAGUCGAACGAGCGAGAGAGAGCUUGCUUUCUCGAGCGAGUGGCGAACGGGUGAGUAACGCGUGAGGAACCUGCCUCAAAGAGGGGGACAACAGUUGGAAACGACUGCUAAUACCGCAUAAGCCCACGACCCGGCAUCGGGUUGAGGGAAAAGGAGCAAUCCGCUUUGAGAUGGCCUCGCGUCCGAUUAGCUAGUUGGUGAGGUAACGGCCCACCAAGGCGACGAUCGGUAGCCGGACUGAGAGGUUGAACGGCCACAUUGGGACUGAGACACGGCCCAGACUCCUACGGGAGGCAGCAGUGGGGAAUAUUGCACAAUGGGGGAAACCCUGAUGCAGCGACGCCGCGUGGAGGAAGAAGGUCUUCGGAU
rnacentral:rRNA from 1 species